rnacentral:lncRNA from 1 species
UUAUAUGAACACCUGAAAAAUGAAGUGAUCCGAACCAGAAUAUUGUGUGCAAAAUCAACAAUAUUGUAAGAAUGAUCCUCUGAUCAAGACAAUGAACCAAGACAAUUCUGAAGGACCCAUGCUAAGAAAUGCUAUGUACCUCCAGAGAGAGAACUGAGGAACUCACUGCAGUGACUUGAAUGGAAUUUACUGCUUAGUAAGUACUUGUUGGAUUGGAUUGGACCCAGAGAUUUCUUCAACUUGCCAAAGGCAUUCUGGACCAAAGAAAACCUGGAACAAAGGAGCAGCAAGAGACUGUCACAGAGGUAAGAGGGGGAAAGACCUGAAUUUAAAUCUGGCCUCAGAUACUGCUUGUGGGACUAGAAUGAAUCACUU